UGUCUUCGAGUCGUUGAUUUCACACUGCCGAGAAAAGCCUCUAGAUAGAAAAUAGGUGCCCGUACCGCAAACCGACACAGGUAGUCAAGAUGAGAAUUCUAAGGUGAGCGAGCGAACUCUCGUUAAGGAACUCGGCAAAAUGACCCCGUAACUUCGGGAGAAGGGGUGCUCUUUAGGGUUAACGCCCAGAAGAGCCGCAGUGAAUAGGCCCAAGCGACUGUUUAUCAAAAACACAGGUCUCUGCUAAACCGUAAGGUGAUGUAUAGGGGCUGACGCCUGCCCGGUGCUGGAAGGUUAAGAGGAGUGGUUAGCUUCUGCGAAGCUACGAAUCGAAGCCCCAGUAAACGGCGGCCGUAACUAUAACGGUCCUAAGGUAGCGAAAUUCCUUGUCGGGUAAGUUCCGACCCGCACGAAAGGCGUAACGAUUUGGGCACUGUCUCAACGAGAGACUCGGUGAAAUCAUAGUACCUGUGAAGAUGCAGGUUACCCGCGACAGGACGGAAAGACCCCGUGGAGCUUUACUGUAGCCUGAUAUUGAAAUUCGGCACAGCUUGUACAGGAUAGGUAGGAGCCUUUGAAACGUGAGCGCUAGCUUACGUGGAGGCGCUGGUGGGAUACUACCCUAGCUGUGUUGGCUUUCUAACCCGCACCACUUAUCGUGGUGGGAGACAGUGUCAGGCGGGCAGUUUGACUGGGGCGGUCGCCUCCUAAAAGGUAACGGAGGCGCUCAAAGGUUCCCUCAGAAUGGUUGGAAAUCAUUCAUAGAGUGUAAAGGCAUAAGGGAGCUUGACUGCGAGACCUACAAGUCGAGCAGGGUCGAAAGACGGACUUAGUGAUCCGGUGGUUCCGCAUGGAAGGGCCAUCGCUCAACGGAUAAAAGCUACCCCGGGGAUAACAGGCUUAUCUCCCCCAAGAGUUCACAUCGACGGGGAGGUUUGGCACCUCGAUGUCGGCUCAUCGCAUCCUGGGGCUGUAGUCGGUCCCAAGGGUUGGGCUGUUCGCCCAUUAAAGCGGUACGCGAGCUGGGUUCAGAACGUCGUGAGACAGUUCGGUCCCUAUCCGUCGUGGGCGUAGGAAAUUUGAGAGGAGCUGUCCUUAGUACGAGAGGACCGGGAUGGACAUACCUCUGGUGUACCAGUUGUCGUGCCAACGGCAUAGCUGGGUAGCUAUGUGUGGACGGGAUAAGUGCUGAAAGCAUCUAAGCAUGAAGCCCCCCUCAAGAUGAGAUUUCCCAACUUCGGUUAUAAGAUCCCUCAAAGAUGAUGAGG
rnacentral:rRNA from 1 species